rnacentral:lncRNA from 10 species
AAACAGACACACACAUUCUCCAUGAGAAAAGAGAGCAAGUUCUAUAUAAGGAACCCAUGAUGGGAAACAGCCAAGUGAAAUGCACCUGGAUGUCUGUGUAAGCAGUCAUAAGAUUGCCAGUGGCCAGCAGAAGACGAAAGGGAAUGCCUGCCUAGGAGAGAAGAGCACGCCUUGUGCAAACAUCAAAGCGCUGCUUCUAAGAGGGCACAAUUAACAGUGCAUACCUCCUGGGAACAUGUUACCAAAAGUUAGAAGGCCAAAUUCCCUCAGCCUCUAUCCAGCAUCACAAAUAACUUCAAUGAGAACCAUAGGAACAUCGAGUGUCCUGUGAAUCUGAGAACUGCAAUGGGCCCUAGGGGCUCUUCCAUCCAGGCUUAUCAUGAUUCAGGAGAAGAAAUUGAGGACCGAAGACAUCAAAUAUAAUAAGCUAAUGGAGGAACUGAGGCUACUUGCCUGGCUCCAGUGCUCUUUCCUUUGCCUCAAAAUCUUUACAGGUCAGCCAUCUAUCAUGUGUAGAAUAAGCAAACUGAAUUAACAUUGGAAAUAUUAAAAGAACAGAGGUUGCGUGGAUAUUGGUUGGAACAGAGAAGAAGUUUUCACAAGGAAUUAAAGUAACACCAGCUGCUCACUGCUCUGACUUAAACCAUACAGCAACUCCAGAAACAUGGGGGGUGUUGUUGAGUGGCAAGUUCAAAAUUAGUGUAAAGCAGC